NUUAAUAAAUUGAAGAAUUGUUGAAAAAUAUAAAAAUAUUAUAUAUAUCUAUUUAUUUAUUUAUAAAUAGUAAGUUUAAAUGAUUAAUAAAAUUAUACAAUUAUUCUAUGCAUAGUGAAGGUAAUCUCAUUACUAUAUCUGAAGAGGUGACAAAAUUUAUAAAUACAGUUAUCAACUUCAUAUUACCAAGCAAAAAAAAUAUAACUGCAGCAGUUGCAACUGUAUAAAACCAAACAGACUAUGUGUAGUUAUAACUACAGCAUUUGCAACUGCAUGUAUUUCCAACUGCACUGUUUCUGCAACUACAUCCAACCAAAUGGCCCCUUAGAUGAAUAAAAUGUGGUGGUAUAAUUUAGAGCGAUUUUUUGGGUGUAUAAUUAGGUAGUAUGACUUUUUCAGGAAUAAAAGUUGACACAAAGGAUCAA
rnacentral:lncRNA from 1 species